GUGGGGAAUAUUGGACAAUGGGGGGAACCCUGAUCCAGCCAUGCCGCGUGUGUGAAGAAGGCCUUUUGGUUGUAAAGCACUUUAAGCGAGGAGGAGGCUACCGAGAUUAAUACUCUUGGAUAGUGGACGUUACUCGCAGAAUAAGCACCGGCUAACUCUGUGCCAGCAGCCGCGGUAAUACAGAGGGUGCGAGCGUUAAUCGGAUUUACUGGGCGUAAAGCGUGCGUAGGCGGCUUUUUAAGUCGGAUGUGAAAUCCCCGAGCUUAACUUGGGAAUUGCAUUCGAUACUGGGAAUCUAGAGUAUGGGAGAGGAUGGUAGAAUUCCAGGUGUAGCGGUGAAAUGCGUAGAGAUCUGGAGGAAUACCGAUGGCGAAGGCAGCCAUCUGGCCUAAUACUGACGCUGAGGUACGAAAGCAUGGGGAGCAAACAGGAUUAGAUACCCCGGUAGUCC
rnacentral:rRNA from 1 species